AUUGAACGCUGGCGGCAGGCUUAACACAUGCAAGUCGAACGAGUGGCGGACGGGUGAGUAAUGCUUGGGAAUCUAGCUUAUGGAGGGGGAUAACUACGGGAAACUGUAGCUAAUACCGCGUACCCUGGGAUGAGCCCAAGUGGGAUUCGGUAGUUGGUGGGGUAAAGGCUCACCAAGCCGACGAUCUCUAGCUGGUCUGAGAGGAGGACCAGCCCCACGGGGACUGAGACACGUCCCAGACUCCUCCGGUAGGCAGCAGUGGGGAAUAGUGCGCAAUGGGGGCAACCUGACGCAGCCAUGCCGCGUGAAUGAAGAAGGCCUUCGGGUUGUAAAGUUCUUUCGGUAGCGAGGCGUUAUCUACAGAAGAAGCACCGGCUAACUCCGUGCCAGCAGCCGCGGUAAUAC
rnacentral:rRNA from 1 species